rnacentral:rRNA from 5 species
AAACUUUCAACAACGGAUCUCUUGGUUCUGGCAUCGAUGAAGAACGCAGCGAAAUGCGAUAAGUAAUGUGAAUUGCAGAAUUCAGUGAAUCAUCGAAUCUUUGAACGCACAUUGCGCCCUUUGGUAUUCCGAAGGGCAUGCCUAUUCGAGCGUCAUU